UACGGGGGGAGCAAGCGUUGUUCGGAUUUACUGGGCGUAAAGGGCGCGUAGGCGGCGUGACUAGUCACUUGUGAAAUCUCCGGGCUUAACUCGGAACGGUCAAGUGAUACUGUCGUGCUAGAGUACAGAAGGGGCAACUGGAAUUCUCGGUGUAGCGGUGAAAUGCGUAGAUAUCAAGCAGAACACCUGCGGCGAAGGCGGCCUUCUGGACGAUGACUGACGCUGAGACGCGAAAGCGUGGGGAGCAAACAGG
rnacentral:rRNA from 1 species